rnacentral:tRNA from 1 species
GGAGGGUUGCCCGAGUGGUUUAAGGGGACGGUUUGCUAAACCGUUGGUGCGAAAGCGCCACACAGGUUCGAAUCCUGUACCCUCCGCCA